UACGUAGGGCGCAAGCGUUGUCCGGAAUUAUUGGGCGUAAAGAGCUCGUAGGCGGCCAGUUGCGUCCGCUGUGAAAAUCCCGGGGCUUAACCCCGGGCGUGCAGUGGAUACGGGCUGGCUAGAGGCAGGCAGGGGAGACUGGAAUUCCUGGUGUAGCGGUGAAAUGCGCAGAUAUCAGGAGGAACACCGGUGGCGAAGGCGGGGUCUCUGGGCCGAUACUGACGCUGAGGAGCGAAAGCGUGGGGAGCGAACAGG
rnacentral:rRNA from 1 species